rnacentral:rRNA from 1 species
UACGUAGGGUGCAAGCGUUGUCCGGAAUUAUUGGGCGUAAAGAGCUCGUAGGCGGUCUGUCGCGUCGGCUGUGAAAUCCCGAGGCUCAACCUCGGGUCUGCAGUCGAUACGGGCAAACUGGAGUGUUGCAGGGGAGACUGGAAUUCCUGGUGUAGCGGUGAAAUGCGCAGAUAUCAGGAGGAACACCGGUGGCGAAGGCAGGUCUCUGGGCAACAACUGACGCUGAGGAGCUAAAGCGUGGGGAGCGAACAGG